rnacentral:rRNA from 1 species
UGGAAGUAAAAGUCGUAACAAGGUCUCCGUUGGUGAACCAGCGGAGGGAUCAUUACUGAGUUAUCAAAACUCCAAACCCUUUGUGAACCUUACCGUCGUUGCCUCGGCGUGAGCUACGGCUACCCUGUAACUACCCUGGAGCUACCCUAGAGUUACCCUAUAGCUACCCUGCACUUACCCUGCAGCUACCCUAUAGCUACCCUGGAGCUACCCUGGAGCUACCCUGUAGUCGGCUUCGGCCCGCCGAAGGACCGUUAAACUCUUGUUUUUACCACUGUUUCUCUGAAUUUUAAACUAAAAUAAGUUAAAACUUUCAACAACGGAUCUCUUGGUUCUGGCAUCGAUGAAGAACGCAGCGAAAUGCGAUAAGUAAUGUGAAUUGCAGAAUUCAGUGAAUCAUCGAAUCUYUGAACGCACAUUGCGCCCAUUAGUAUUCUAGYGGGCAUGCCUAUUCGAGCGUCAUUUCGACCCCUAAGCCCCUGUUGCUUAGCGUUGGGAAUCUACGGCGUAGUUCCUCAAAGUUAGUGGCGGAGUUAGGGUACACUCUCAGCGUAGUAAUUUCUCUCGCUCGUGUGGUGGCCCUGGCUGCUAGCCGUUAAAACCCCUAAAUUUUCUAGUGGUUGACCUCGGAUUAGGUAGGAAUACCCGCUGAACUUAAGCAUAUCAAUAAAGCGGAGGA